rnacentral:rRNA from 1 species
UUUUUCCCUUGUAAUUGGAAUGAUGGUGACCCAAACCCUCACCAGAGUAGCAAUUGGAGGGCAAGUCUGGUGCCAGCAGCCGCGGUAAUUCCAGCUCCAAUAGCGUAUAUUAAACUUGUUGCAGUUAAAAAGCUCGUAGUUGUAUUUUUGCGUUGACGGUUUGACCAUUUGGUUGGUUAUUUCGUUUUCGCUUUUGGGAAUUUCCCUUUUUACUUUGAGAAAAUUAGAGUGUUUCAAGCAGACUUUUGUCUUGAAUACUUCAGCAUGGAAUAAUAGAGUAGGACUUUGGUUCUAUUUUGUUGGUUAUUGAACCUUAGUAAUGGUUAAUAGGAACGGUUGGGGGCAUUCGUAUUUAACUGUCAGAGGUGAAAUUCUUAGAUUUGUUAAAGACGAACUACUGCGAAAGCAUUUGCCAAGGACGUUUCCAUUAAUCAAGAACGAAAGUUAGGGGAUCGAAGACGAUCAGAUACCGUCGUAGUCCUAACCAUAAACUAUGCCGACUAGUGAUUGGAGGUCGUCGUUUUGACCCUCGUC